AAACUUUCAACAACGGAUCUCUUGGUUCUGGCAUCGAUGAAGAACGCAGCGAAAUGCGAAAAGUAAUGUGAAUUGCAGAAUUCAGUGAAUCAUCGAAUCUUUGAACGCACAUUGCGCCCGCCAGUAUUCUGGCGGGCAUGCUUGUCUGAGCGUCAUUU
rnacentral:rRNA from 2 species